CCUCUCAGCACAAUCCUAAAACUACCUGCUACAUUUAUGCAAAUGGUCACUCUUAAUCCAAAAUGAUACCUUUUAGUUAAUCCUGAAACACAAGUAUUGCAGCUGUCUCAUGGAAGAAACUGAGAAAAAAUUCUGUUCAGUAUGGAAAUAACUCUAUAAAGCUCAUGAUAAAUGAAGGCUUAUGAAUUGUAUGUCAGUUAUUGCAGUCAUCAUUGUAGCAGUAUAUUUUCUUGGGUUCUUAUGGGAAAUUACUUUCUUUGGCACAAUCUUGGGAAUUAUUUCCUGUGUUCCAUUAGCUCUGCAAGAUGACGUCCUAAAAUGACGGAUGCAGUUCUAUUGUUUUUUGAGAGUGCUCUUUAACUGCUCUUAGGGCUCCUUGUUUGAAUGCAUAUUAUAUUCUCUUUGAAUAUUAUCUGAGAAUAUGAUUCAUAGUUUAGUCUUAAUGUUUUCGAAAAAUCACUUAAUGAACAAGAAGGAAGCUUGUUCUGGUAGAAAGAAAUAAACAGCAGAAUGGGUAAUCCUUGUUCUUCUAGUCAUGAUUCCACUGCCAACUCUGAAAUGAAGUGAAUUACCUUAGGUACAGUGUCUCUUUUUCAUUUAUAACAUACUUUUUUUUUUCUUUUUCUUCAAGGAACAGCUUUACUGACUAGAGCAGGAUGUCAGGUGUUAGCUACAAGAACAAAAUAUAUUUGGAAGCAUACCAGGCUCAUCAUCAUGAAAAAGAACAGGAUAUUCAAGACCAAGAAAAAUUGCACAGAAAAUAAUCUUGUAUUUCUUUAUCAAAACUACCAAAAGUCAACAUAUAUCAUAAAUUGGAAAAAUCCUGUAAGUCUGGAGUAUUUUAUAAAGUGUUAUCUUUUAUGUAUUAGCUUGGUGUGCUUGGCAGUGCAGGGAGGGUGGUGAUUACUGAUUUUCCCAUCUUUAAUUUAGUUUUUUCCCAGUAAAAGUGGCAAUUGACAUAAGGUGGGCUGGGAAAACAACAAAAGUGCAUUUUCCUCCCCAAUUAGAG
rnacentral:lncRNA from 1 species